rnacentral:rRNA from 1 species
ACGGGAGGCAGCAGUGGGGGAUAUUGCACAAUGGGGGAAACCCUGAUGCAGCGACGCCGCGUGAGUGAAGAAGUAUUUCGGUAUGUAAAGCUCUAUCAGCAGGAAAGAUAAUGACGGUACCUGACUAAGAAGCACCGGCUAAAUACGUGCCAGUAGCCGCGGUAAUACGUAUGGUGCAAGCGUCAUCCGGAUUUACUGGGUGUAAAGGGAGCGCAGACGGCAUGGCAAGCCAGAUGUGAAAGGUGGGGGCUCAACCCCCAAGCUGCAUUUGGAACUGUCAAGCUAGAGUAUCGGAGAGGUAAGUGGAAUUCCUAGUGUAGCGGUGAAAUGCGUAGAUAUAAGGAAGAACACCAGUGGCGAAGGCGAUCUACUGGACAGUAACUGACGCUGAGGCGCGAAAGCGUGGGGAGCAAACAGGAUUAGAUACCCUGGUA